rnacentral:tRNA from 1 species
GCCUUUGUGGUGUUGUGGUUAGAACGCUCGACGCGCAUUCGAGAGGUCGGCGGUUCGAGUCCCGGCGAAGGCA